CAGAUGUUUUAUUCUAAAGUGAAAUUAGGUGGAACUGAACAUAUCCAUUUGAGAUUAUGUGCAAUUUCAAAUUGCAGAUGAGGGUAGAAAAAUAGCAAGAAAGUUAAAGCUGUGAGUGUCGAUAAGUAAUGAUGACUGUAAUGACAGCGGCGGCAUUGUAUCACGGCCAUCGCUGACGUUAAUUAGUACUAACAAAAGGAGCUGAUUUGUAUGAA